rnacentral:lncRNA from 1 species
CACUGACAUUAAGAACCUCCUGAUUCUCAUCCACAAAUUUGAUCAUCCAUGUCACUGCAAUUGCAAGUGUCAUGUCCUAUAAUUUCAAUUCAAUUGUGCUAAUAUUCCUUACCAAGAAUUAUACCAUUUUGACUCACUAAGAAGCACCCACCUACAGUAUCAAUAACAACAAUACCAACAAAUUAAGAAUCAUUUUUAAGAUACACUAUAACCAACAUUGUACUUCUGAGAGACAUAUUAAUCUUUAAUAAUCUAAUAUCCUACAACUGAAAUGGAAAAACAAUAUAUAACAAUAGAAAUAUCUAAAAAAACUACAUUGAGAAGAAACAUAUGAAUAUAUGUACAUUGAGAAGAAACAUAUGACUUAUUGGUUGUUUUCUUGGAUGGACAUCCAAAUCUGCUCUGCAACUGUAUAAGGGAAAACAUGAAACANNNNNNNNNNNNNNNNNNNNNNNNNNNNNNNNNNNNNNNNAUAAACAUCUAACAAUAUCAGUCUGUCUUUUAAACCUUUGAGAAGGAAUCCAGUUCAUGCUAACAUACCAUUAAGAGGAAUCCAGUUCAUGCUUCAUCAUUUUAACUGCACUACCAUGGUUCAGUCCAGCUGCGUUCUGCCGAUCUAUUCAAUCUCGCCACUAGCUCCAGCAUGAGAACAAGCGAAAAUCCAAGUGUGUAGGGUUCCAAUCUACAUUUCAUUUUUUUUCACAGUUCAAAUUAUAAAUAUGUUCAUAAACAGAGGCAGAAUUUUGAUCCACAUUACAAAAAAAAAGCAAAUUUAUUUAGCCAUCAAAAUAAAUCCCCUUAAAUGUAGGUCUUUAAAUUCAUGACUGCAUACAUGAUUCCCUGUGAAAGCAUACAAGAGAGUAACCGAUAUGACUUGUUUUUGGUACAGUUUACAACAUAGAUUGAAACAGAAUUACAAGUGAAACCGAUUAUAGCAUUUAUUGAACACUAAAUGCGAACUAUCACAGAAAAAUCCAACGAGUACUGAAGGCAUCAUUCAGUUGACAUCAAAAUAUUAAUAGUUACGAAAUUCAAAUCGGUUUUAGAAACUUACCACAUAUGAAUCUGAGCUGCCUGUGUCGAACAAUCAAUAAUUUGAAGAAGGUAUUUUAUUCAGUGCACAUGACAAUAAUUUGCAAACAUGUUACUAUCUUUAUUAAAGCAUUCUAUCAAACACAACAGAGACAUUAUUAUCAAAACUAAUAGGAACUAAAGGCAUAAACACAAAAGUAAAGAAAUGAGCAAACAAUCCAAUUCUGAUUCUCUCUAAACUAGUGAACCAAAUCUUAAAAAAAAACAAAAGUUAGAAGAACCAGAGUCCUUACCUUGAGUUUUUUAUGAUGGAGAUGACAAACAUGAUAANNNNNNNNNNNNNNNNNNNNNNNNNNNNNNGAGAAGAAAGUGGAAACACUCCAAUGUUAAAUGCUUUAAAUUUGAAGAGUUGUUGAAAUUAGAGGCUCACAUUGACAUCUCUGAGCAGCUUCUACAACUCAAAAAUAAAAUUGUCAUCAAAGUUAGCCUCUACCUCACUAAAAUGAUAAAACCACUUACUGCUACUAACAUCAAAGUUAGCCUCACAUAAAAAUGCACAUGCCGCAGGAAAUAACUUCAGUUAAUAUGUGACUCAUACCAAAUUGUAGCAUAUUUGAUAAGGACAAUUUAGUACUGAAUCUCCUAAAGCAUAAUAAAUUUAUUCAAAUUCUCCUAAGAUGAGCCAACCUAACCUAAAAUUAAGCAUGAAUCAAAUUAAAAUCCUCAAUUUGUAUAUAAAAGCUAUAAGGAAGUAAAGUAUUGCAAUAUAGGAACACCAACCUAUGGUCCACGAAGUGUGAAAAUUGUUGGUUGAUCCAACAGGAGAUACAGCAACAGUCAUAGAGAUACAAGAAUUGGACAUGAGGAAGACCCUAAUCAAAGCGAAAAUCAAAUCAGAAAUAUCAAAUCCUAAACAUAGUAAACCUCAAAUUAGAAAAAUCAAAACCCUAAUCAAAGUUAAUAUUUACCGUAAGUCAAAUUUCUGAAGGCAAAAUCACUAAAUACCACAAUCAAUUGAUUCUGAAAUCAACUUGAAAACGCUGAGUGAAGAAUUGCGAGAGUUUUUGAAGAUCGUCACGAAUGCUCCAUGAAGAAUCGAUGGAGAAUGGCGAGAGCUUGUGAAGUCUCGGAGAUUCUGUGAUUUUGGGAGAAAAAUUUGGAUGAAUCGGAUGAAAAAUUGAUCCGAGUGUGAAAGUGUAUGUGAUAGNNNNNNNNNNNNNNNNNNNNNNNNNNNNNNNNNNNNNNNNNNNNNNNNNNNNNNNNNNNNNNNNNAAAUUGAUCUGAGUGUGAAAGUGUAUGUGAUAGAAAAAUCGAUCUGAGAGCAAGAGAGUGUACCAAAGCUCGUAUGAAAGAUGAAAAUUACUAUUUUAAAAAAUAAAAAUUCAACAUAUUAAAUAAUUAAUAUUAUUGAAAACUGCAGCAGUUUGAAACCGCAGGUAAAGUGGAAAGCGGCAGCAGUUCUAUGCCAACCGUCGCUAUUUGACCGCCGCUGUUUUCCUUUUUUCUUGUAGUGGUGGUACAUAAGUAACCACCAUGAUUGACUGACUUUCUUAACUUAACUUAAUUAUCUUGAUUGUUAUCCUGCCCAUAAUUUCCCUCCCUGGGGUAACUAACUUGUCCCGAUUUCCUGAUUAUCAUAACUUAACGUGUAAUUAACAUUUUAAUUAAGCAUUACACUUAUAAUAUUCACAGAAAAGUAUCUAGGAAGGUAUAGGAUUGAAAAGUAUAAAAUAGUUCCAAAUUCUAAAUCUGCANNNNNNNNNNNNNNNNNNNNNNNNNNNNNNNNNNNNNNNNNNNNNCGAGCUUAUCAGUUCACAACUCUGUUUUGCGAUUUUCAUCAGUUUUGCAUAAAAUUAUUAAUACAAUCCUUUUCAUUCCUAACCAUGAGUAUCACAGCGUGUAAUAAAUUAUUAAAAUGGAGAGAAGCUUUGGGAUUAAGCUCCUCUCAUACACCACUUGACCCUAACUUAUGUUAUCAUGCAAUAAUUCAUAAUUGGGGACACUAACAUAAUAUAUCUAAUGUUAUCAUACAUAAUUUAUUUGGGCAACUAAAGUGCUAUGCUAUCGAAAGGUUGAGCUUCUAAGGGAACCCACCUGAAAAGAAGCUUGAACAAUAGCAUGGACACUUCCAGAGCUCGCCGAAAAGCAUAAUUUGCAACUGAAAUGCUGUAAACCCAUAAUCAGAAUUUUCUGCAUAAUUCUGCAUCAGAGCACCAACUUCAAAAAUACCUACUGACCUCAUUUCACGUCCAAAAAUUAUGCAACCAGUGCCACAACGACCGUAUUUGAGUUAGCUAUCCAUAGAAACAAACGGCAUCUCAAACGGUUUUACAGAGAGAGAACAGUCACCUUUUUAGUGCCUGUCUGUCCAGAAUACGGGUUUAACCCAAAUUCUUCCAAUUCUUCUAGUUCCCUUAAUUCUUAACUCAUAUUCACCAAAUCCAUUAAUUGUGAACAGAAUACAUGCAUAUCCAAAUAUGGAAACAUGAUUUGGGGUUAGGAAUUAGAAUUUCAACCAUCAACAUGAGAAGGAAUGGAGAAAUCAAGUUCUUACCUUAGAAUCCUAACAACUCCAAUUGAUGGUUGUGAACAUAGAUUGGCAUAUGCAAGCUUUAACAAUGGAGGAACAUGAACUUGUGAGGGGGGGAAGGGAUUUUCGACCAAUAGCAGGAAUGAGAGGAAAUCAAAAAUUGAUUUUGCUUCUAACGAGUUCAAUCGAUGUUGGGCACUAUAAUUUUCACACAUGCAGUGCUUAUUGAGAGAAUAAUUGAUUUUUGGUUUUCAUGGAGGAGGGAGUAUUGUCGUUGCUGAAGAAGAAGGGGGAAGGAGGUGCCUGUGAAGGAGGAAGUGAUUUCAUUUCUUCUCUCUCUCGGCUCUUUUGUCUCUUAUAGACAACAUUUUCACAUGAAUUACCAAGUUAUCCUUUAU